CUGGGAACGUCUGGGGAGGACUGCCGGUGAUAAACCGGAGGAAGGCGGGGAUGACGUCAAGUCCUCAUGGCCCUUACAUCCCGGGCUACACACGUGCUACAAUGGCAGGUACAGAGGGCUGCGAAGCCGCGAGGUGGAGCGAAUCCCAGAAAACCUGUCUCAGUCCGGAUUGAAGUCUGCAACUCGACUUCAUGAAGGCGGAAUCGCUAGUAACCGCGAAUCAGCAGGUCGCGGUGAAUACGUUCCCGGGCCUU
rnacentral:rRNA from 1 species